AACCUGGUUGAUCCUGCCAGUAGUCAUAUGCUUGUCUCAAAGAUUAAGCCAUGCAUGUCUAAGUAUAAACUUUUAUACGGUGAAACUGCAGACGGCUCAUUACAACAGUGAUAAACUACAGAACUUUCGAGCGUAAGCUUUUUGGAUAACCGCAGUAAAUCGGGGCUAAUACAUAUAAACGGAAGGCGAUUGGGCAACCAAGAGUCCUUGCGAUUACUAGCUUCAAACCAACCUCUAUGAGAUUGAGUUGAAACCGAAUAAUAUUGCUGAUCAGAAUUUAAUUCUGACAAGUUCUAUGUGUCACUGCCCUAUCAACUUUCGAUGGUACGGUAUUGGCCUACCAUGGUUGUAACGGGUAACGGGGAAUCAGGGUUCGAUUCCGGAGAGGGAGCCUGAGAAAUGGCUACCACUUCUACGGAAGGCAGCAGGCGCGCAAAUUACUCAAUCCCAAUACGGGGAAGUAGUGACAAUAAAUACUAAUGUUCUUCCAUUUUAUGGAGAACAAUUGGAAUAAGUACAACGUAAAUAGCUUAGCAAAAGUAAUUGGAGGGCAAGUCUGGUGCCAGCAGCCGCGGUAAUUCCAGCUCCAAUAGCGUAUACUAAAUUUGUUGCAGUUAAAAAGCUCGUAGUUUAGGCAGAGGUCAUUCGGAUUCAUUAAUUUCACCUUCAAAAGUGACUUUAAAGGCUAUAUCACGCUUCGGUUGUGUUUAUGGUCACCGAUGACUUGUAUUAUGACGUUAUUUGUUAGUUUACUAGCUUAUAAUCGUCAAUCCACUGUGAGAAAAUUGUGGUGUUUAAAGCAGGCGUUCUAGUCUGAUCAAUGCAGCAUGGUAUGGUAAAAUAUGACACUUAACAUUUGUUGGUUUACUUUGUUAUAGUGUAAUGACUAAUAGGGAAGGGCGGGGCCGUUCAUAUUGAUGGGCGAGAGGUGAAAUUCGUUGACCCUAUCAAGAUGCACUACAGCGAAAGCAUUCGGCAAGUACUUCUCCAUUAAUCAAGAACGAAAGUUUGGGGAUCGAAGACGAUCAGAUACCGUCGUAGUCCAAACCAUAAAUGAUGUCGAUCAGGGAUCGGUAGGAUUUAAUUGUAAAUUCUUAUCGGAACCUUGUGAGAAAUCAUGAAUGUUUGGACUCUGGGGGGAGUAUGGUCGCAAGGCUGAAACUUAAAGGAAUUGACGGAAGGGCACACAAUGGAGUGGAACCUGCGGCUUAAUUUGACUCAACUCGGGAAAACUUACCAAGCUCAGAUAUAAUAAGGAUUGACAGACUAAAAGAUCUUUCAUGAUUGUAUAAGUGGUGGUGCAUGGUCGUUCUUAGUUGGUGGAGUGAUUUGUCUGGUCAAUUCCGAUAACGGACGAGACGUCUACUUGCUAACUAGUAGGAUUUAUUUUUCCAAAUGGGGGAUAGUUAGUUGGUGGUAGUAUUCAUUCGCAAGGGUGGGUAUUCCAUUGAUUAGUGUGUACUCUGGAUUGAUAGAUUUUAGUAAAAACAUAAACUUCUUAGAAGGACUACCUACCUCAAGUAGGGGGAAGUCGGACGCAAUAACAGGUCUGUGAUGCCCUUAGAUACCUUGGGCUGCACGCGCGUUACAAUGCAGCAUAGAAAAAGGCUCCGUUGCUGGAAAGCAAUGGUAAUCAAAAGAAUAUACUACGUAAUAGGGAUUGAUCUUUGUAAUUAUCGAUCAUAAACGAGGAAUUCCUUGUAAGCGUAAUUCAUUACAUUACGCUGAAUAUGUCCCUGCCCUUUGUACACACCGCCCGUCGCUCCUACCGAUCGAAUGAUUAGGUAAAACUGACAGAUAAAAAUUUUUGUAAAAAAAUGUAGAAGUUAUUUAAAUCUCAUUGUUUAGAGGAAGGAGAAGUCGUAACAAGGUAUCCGUAGGUGAACCUGCAGAAGGAUCAA
rnacentral:rRNA from 1 species